UACGUAGGUCCCGAGCGUUGUCCGGAUUUAUUGGGCGUAAAGCGAGCGCAGGUGGUUUAUUAAGUCUGGUGUAAAAGGCAGUGGCUCAACCAUUGUAUGCAUUGGAAACUGGUAGACUUGAGUGCAGGAGAGGAGAGUGGAAUUCCAUGUGAAGCGGUGAAAUGCGUAGAUAUAUGGAGGAACACCGGUGGCGAAAGCGGCUCUCUGGCCUGUAACUGACACUGAGGCACGAAAGCGUGGGGAGCAAAUAGG
rnacentral:rRNA from 1 species